rnacentral:lncRNA from 1 species
AGAGCUCUCAACAGCCACCUUCCUGGCACUUGUCACUGCGUAGUUGUGUGUCUCCUGCCCAAUAAAUACAUACGGAAAGGAAGAAGGAAGACAGGCAAGGAUGGAGGGAGGCAGGGGAGAGGGUCUUGGCCUCCCUCACCUGACUGUGAGCCACCUGAGGGCAAGAUUGUGCCUUUUUCAUUUCUGUGUCCCCAGCCCCCACUGCAGGGCUAGGCACAUUGUUGAGGAAGUGAAUGAUUGAAUACAUGAAGGAACACUUUGUGGGCGAGGGACCUCCUUCUAGGAUAUGACCAGCCUGGAAGAGCCUCAAGGCAGUGGCAGCGUUUGGGGUCCUGCUGUGGGUGUUGCUAGGGAGGCUUUGGAAGACAGUUCUGGUGGAGACACAUGCUCUAGCUCCCGCCCACAGUUCAGUCAGGGAACCAACCAUACUGAGCUAUUAGUAGUGCCGGGCCCUGCAUGGGACGCUGGGUGCACAGGGAUGGGAGAGACACGGUUUCUGACCUCAGGCUCUCCUGGCAAGUGGUGGAGACUGAUGCAUUGGCCCAUGAUUUUGCCACAGUGAUCUGGGGGCUGUAGGUGAGGUGCGGGCAGAGCAAGGGGGUGGAGAAAUGCAGGGAAGAGUGGGCAGAGGAGAGAACAAUACAGGAAGGCUUCCUGGAAGAGGUGACCCU